UCUGUAAAGUGAUUUGUAAAAAAUUUUUAAUUGUAAAAUUGCUACAUAAGAAGACAAGUUGUUAGAUGAAAUUCAAAUAUUUUCUAUGUUUGUGUUGUGUAGGUCAAAAAAUAAUAAACAAAGAUGACCAAGAGAUUCAUUUUAAGACAAAUCAAUCUUCAUCAUCUUUAAAUAAAAAGGAUAAACAUUAUGGAGUUCCAUUAUCUCAAGCGAACUUUCAAUAUUGUGCGUUGCUUCUCUUAAAUGAGAUAAAAACCCAAGGAUGCAAAAAACUUAAUAUAAAAUAGUGUGAAGAAGAAGUUGUAACUGAAAUGAGCAGCAUAAUAGAAUUUGAUAAGUUUGAUUCAGCACUUGACAAUGUUUUAUCUAGUAACUCUGUAGUAUCUCUGCAGUUGUAAAUUGCUAAAUACUGAUUUGACAGAUUUUUCUUUUUUUUUAAAUUUUCUUUACAAUAUAUAAUUUUUACUACUUAAUUAGGAAUUGUCAGAUUUCCAUUAUUUCAUUCUAUUAGAAACAAAGAGUUCGAAAUAUUGGUGGUAAGAACUGUCAAAAACAUGUGAUAGCUAUGAUGAAGAGUUGAAUCUAGAAGAUGAAGGAGUUAGUACCUAUAGAAGAUGAAAUAUCUCAACUAUUUAGCGAUAGUGGCAACAAUAACGAUGAAUGUAAUUUUGAAGGUUUCCUAAAUGAAGAAGAGCCAGACGACUACAAUAAUGAACUAAUAGUACAUGCCAAAAAUAUAGCGCCUCUAAUGGUAGGUUUAAUUACGGAUGGCGCUAAUGUUUUAACUGGACGGAGACAUAGUGUUCAACAACAGCUAGUAGGUGCAACAAUUUUCUCACUUACAUUGUUUGUUGCACCGAUUGCAGCUGGCACUAAAAGAUGCAGCCAGCACUUCAAAGGAACUCCAAAUUCUGCAGCUAUUUUUUGAGCAACUCUUCAUUUUUCAUCGAAAUUCUACUGUUAUAUCAGCAGUUUAUUGUAACGCAUGCAAAGUUUAUGGUGUAAAAGGCCAAAUGCAGAGUCAUACGAGUUUAUGUUAACAGAUGGGUUGCGCAUAUGGUAAAUGCGUUGGAAAAUCUUCUCAAUGGUCUAAAAGCGCAUAUCCAUAGUUAUACCACUAUCAGCUUGGUAAGCGACUACAGCGCAACACAGAAAUCAAAGGCUAAGUUCUUUGCAAAGAAAUUGGUUGAUCAGCACUUAAUGUCGACGGCGAUCUAUGUUCUUGAUGUUAGCACAAAAAAAAAUGUUUUACCGUAUGAAGUUAAGUCUUCGCUCGAGAAAUUUAGAAAGAUUCGACUCUGGUUUUUACUGGAACAAGCGCUCGAUAUAUAGGAUUGUAAAUUUGCAUGAAGUGAUAAAAUAUAAAGAUCGAGUUUUUAUUGCUACAUCCAUGCAAAAGUGCAUUUUGAAACGAUGUUCAAAUGUAUCAGAUGUCUUUGCGGAGGCGGACGAGUUGCUUAACACAGUUGAAUGGACGGAGAGCGACUUUUUCACGGCUGAAAACAACAAAAAGUUACAUAAAAACAUGCUAGACAAUAACAUAAAAGCCCUUAUUGACGACGAUAUGCUGCGUCAACAAUUCGAAUAUAAACGAGUAGAUGUUGGAAAAUUUUUUAUCAGAGUGGAUAAUAUUGAAGAAAAUAAUGGCAAUUUGGACAAGUGCAAGUUCAAAAUUAUUUCCACCGCUAUCUUGGUCACAAAUAGCGACUAAUAUCAAACCAGAUAGAUUCGCUAAUCUUUUUUCUCUGAUUGAUUUUUUAUUGUGCUAUAGCUUAAGUUUUGCAGACGCGGAAAAAGGCAGACGCGGAAAAACACAAGUCAAUAACAAGUUAUAAACAAUGCAAUUACGCAUCAAGAUUGAUGGUCCAGAAAUAGAAAUAUACAAUCCAACAAAAGCCAUCAAACACUGGCUUUUGUUGGAUCGUAUAAACCAUCAUGAAAAAAUAAAACUGGCAUCAAUCAAAAAAGAAGAGUUAGUUACAUGGACAACAAAACUCCAGUUGUGUCAGUUAAAAAGUCAAAGAAAAUAAAGAUUUUUUCAAGUAGCGAUGAUGACAGUGAUAGAGCUGUAACAAUUGAUGACGAUAUGUAAUAAUUUUGACUCUUGUUUAUAUUUUUAUUUUGUAAUGUUUUUUACCUUUCAAAAUAAAAAUAGUUUUUCUCGUAACAAAUAAGAUCGUAAUAAUUACAACACAUUAAAAGGGUUUUAAAGUAUUUGUAAAUUGUUUUUUUAUAUUUGUCAAGAGUUUUUUGUUGUAAACGAACGUCUAUUUUUUUAUAAAAUGAGCGCUCAAAUAAAGUUUAAAAA